CUUUGCCUUUACUCACUAAUCUUAAGCACAACCUUAUCUAAACUUUUUCUUCACUGCUUUCCAACUGAUCAUAUGACAGGGUGGGAUCACAUCAACUGUCUGACACUAACAUACAGAGGAGGUCGGAGACACAAGUACAGUUUAUGAUGUUUAUUGAGACAACCAGAGCAGUGAGCAGGUUUGAAGAAUGCAGAGAGACGUGGAGCAGAGGAGUUUCCCAGACAGAGAAUACAUCCAGACAGAGUUACUUGGCUUGAACUUCACACCAGCUUCAAUGAAGACAGGGAGACGUGGAGCAGAUGCUAAACAGAGACACUCACAGAGGACUGGGGAACACAGAGGAUCUAGGAGACACACUGGUGACAGGUAAGUCAUCCAUAUGGUAAGCAUUCAGGGGUGCGUUUCCCAAAGCGAACUAUGGUCGUAAGUUCCGUCGUUACCAAUAGAGUUCAAUGGGACUUACGACCAUAGUUCACCAACGAUGCUUUCGGGAACCGCACCCCAGGUUAGUAUGCAUUAACAAGACCAGACAAUGACUGAGUGACUGUGAGUGUCUUUUAUAGUGCUGUUAAUUGAGCUGGUGAUGAGUGUCAGGUGCGUGUGAUCAGCACUCCGGUGAGGGAGCGUGACGUGAUUGGCUGGGUGCAGAGCCUGGUGUGUCUGUGACAGUUAUAGCCUACUUGUUAUUAUCACCAACAUGGUUUUGUUUUGCUUUUGUGAUAUUUCCACAUUAUACUCAUCAUCUUGUAAAGUCUGUUUCAGACGUCUUGGAGAGCUCUGGCAGUGUGUGAUCUGGACAUACAUGAAGGCUGUUCCCAAGUGUCAAGGCCCUAUUUUAAUAUUCAACUCAGAACCUCACAUUUAGCAUUGCUUCUUUUCACACAUUGUUUUGAAAUUUUAAAUGUCUUUUCAAUUUGAGUUACAUUCAUAGAGUUCUGUACUUCAUAUAACAUUUAAUGUAAUUAAUAUUUAUAUAGCCUACAACUGGAUUUGUUGCUUUAAAAAAAAUAUAGCUAAGAAAAGAUGAAAAAAAAGAAGUGCAUUUUCAGGAUAAUAUUUUAAAGAUAAUUUUGUACAAUCCAAAUAAGCUUUACAGAUCUUUAGAAAGGGUUUUAACAAUGUUUGUCAUGUUUUUCAAUUAUUGCACAUGUACCUAUAGGUCAAUCAAGGUCAGUUACAAUAACUUAGGACACUAAAGUGACUCUGAAAAACACCAGAAUAAAGAUGCCCAGGGUCUCUGAUCACCUGUGUGAAUGUGCCUAAGUCCUGCUGCAGGAGACAAGAGGACUGCAGAUGAGAACAGAGCAAUAAACUGCAAUGUCUGUAAUGUAAGAUGCCUGAGACAGUGCUACAGGGAGACAGAAGGACAGCUGAUUGCCCUUCCAGCGCCAAACCACAUGUAACCAUACGUCCCACCAGACAUGUUUGAAAACAUGAAUUGCCUUGGUGGAAGAGUGGAGUAACAUCUCACAGUCAUGUGGAAAGACUGGAGAUCUACAGCAGCAUUGCAGUCCAGCCAGACGAUCAACCAGUAGCUGCUCGCAUCUCAGCCUGCUUGAUGGAAAUUUCCGACUUUCACCUGGAUGACCUUUACCUUCAACUCCACCUUACCAAGACAGAAGUGCUUGUGGUUUCAGCCAUCCAUCCUUUGUGUUAUAAUCAAUCAGUUAAACUUCACAGACCACAGUGCUGGCACUGCCCGAUCUUGCAGAUUUGCCCAGUACAACAUUGGGAAGAUCAAGCCAUUCCUAUCGGAACAUGCUACACAACAGAACAGCAAGCCUGUACCUAAACUCUCUGCUUAAGACUUAUACGCCCUCCAGAAGCUUGUGCUCUGAAAGUGAACAGCAUCUUGUGGUGCCAUCCCAAAGGGGCACAAACUCUUUAACUGACCUUUACCUGGACUGUCCCAUGCUGGUGGAGUAACCUGACUAACUCAAACCAUUUUUGAGAGACUACUAAAUAUCCAUCUUUUUUUGUGAACAAUUGACCUGUUAAUACUAUCUUUCUGUUUAACUGAAAAUAAUAAUUUCUAUGCAUACUGUGCUAGACUAACUUGUCAUUGUACUUAUUGUUGCUUCUAUUGUACUCACAUAUGUAAGAGUCAUCAUACAUGUAUAAAAUAUCAGCAAUAUUACAAUACAAAUGUAUACAGAAAUUGUCUUUUAAUGUAGUUCUAUAUAUUAAGCUUGUAUUUCCUAUAAGUUAAGUUGACAUGCACAUGUACAGUAUUAGUCAUUGUACAUAAGACAUUGUAUGUUCCUUUGAUUAAAUGUAUUUGGUACUAUAUUUUGCUAAUUUAACAGAAAUUGGUUGUAAAGGUUGCUAUUUUUAUGCAUUUCUAAGUAAUUUAUUGAUUGAAGUUGAGUGGUUCUGUAAAAAUAGAUUAAUACUGUAAAAUGCAAACUUUUUUUGAAAUUGUGCUAAUUACAUUUUUAUAAUUUCUUA